rnacentral:rRNA from 1 species
UUGGUGAGGUAACGGCUCACCAAGGCAUCGAUGGGUAUGGGGUCUUAAAGGAUGGUCCCACACACUGGCACUGAGACACGGGCCAGACUCCUACGGGAGGCAGCAGUGAGGAAUAUUGGUCAAUGGGUGAGAGCCUGAACCAGCCAUCCCGCGUGCAGGAUGACGGUCCUAGUGAUUGUAAACUGCUUUUCUAUGAGAUGAAUAAGAAUUACGUGUAGUUCGAUGACCGUAUUAUAGGAAUAAGCAUCGGCUAACUCCGUGCCAGCAGCCGCGGUAAUACGGAGGAUGCAAGCGUUAUCCGGAUUUAUUAGGUUUAAAGGGUGCGUAGGUGGGCGUUUAAGUCAGUGGUUAAAGCCAUUAGCUUAACUAAUGUAUGCCAUUGAUACUGGAUGUCUUGAAUGUGGUAGAGGUUGGCGGAAUGUGUUGUGUAGCGGUGAAAUGCUUAGAUAUAACACAGAACACCGAUUGCGUAGGCAGCUUACUAUUCCAUUAUUGACGCUGAUGCACGAAAGCGUGGGGAUCAAACAGGAUUAGAUACCCUGGUAGUCCACGCUGUAAACUAUGAUCACUCGUUUUUGGCGAUAUAUAGUCAGAGACUGAGCGAAAGC